rnacentral:rRNA from 1 species
CCUACGGGGGGCAGCAGUAGGGAAUAUUGCUCAAUGGGGGAAACCCUGAAGCAGCAACGCCGCGUGGAGGAUGAAGGUUUUAGGAUUGUAAACUCCUUUUGUAAGAGAAGAUUAUGACGGUAUCUUACGAAUAAGCACCGGCUAACUCCGUGCCAGCAGCCGCGGUAAUACGGAGGGUGCAAGCGUUACUCGGAAUCACUGGGCGUAAAGAGCGCGUAGGCGGGUGGUCAAGUCAGAUGUGAAAUCCUGUAGCUUAACUACAGAACUGCAUUUGAAACUGAUCAUCUAGAGUAUGGGAGAGGUAG